ensembl:lncRNA
GCGGACUCGCAUCCAAAUUCCUCUUGUUUGCGGCGGAGCUUAGGAGAUGCCAAAGGAGGGAAAGCCAGAUUCAUACUGGGCCGGUGUCGUGGUCCGGUUUGUCCAGGGGAAACACAAGUUUUCUACAGGCCAGAGACCUGGGGGCAGACGUUGGAGGGCAGUGAUAGAAAGGAUUAAGAAUUGUCCCCUGACCCCUAUAUUUGGCCUAGCUGUCAGAAGAUUUGACAUUUUUGGGAAAAAGAUCCCCUGCAAAUGUGGCUAUCCAUGAUUUAGGACAGCAGGCAGGGGCCGCUGCAGGUCCACAGGCAGUGCAGGCCAACAGCAGUAGAGCAGCAGAUACACCAGACGCAGCAAAGGCUAGUGCAGAAGAUACACCAAAGGCCAGUGCAGCAGAUACACCAGAUGCACCAAAGGCUAGUGCAGCAGAUACACCAGACGCACCAAAGGCCAGUGCAGCAGCUGGAAGUCUGGAAAGUUCAGCCAGUACCUUUAUGACAUGCUCCCUUUGUGCUCAGGAAGUGCUCUCUGACCACUUUACGCAGCACCUGUCAGACUUCCAUGUCCAGGAGCAGUGUCAGCACUGCGGUACAAAGGCUGAGGGUGCUGUCAGAUUAUCAGAGCACCUUGAGAAGUGUCAUGUCUUAUCUCCACCAGACCUCCCAAACAUUUCUCCUCCAGCCAUCCCUCUACUACCCCAGCCCAGGAGAUGACACCGACGCCAGUCCUCUGUCCCAGAGAUGCUCAAGCUCCAGUCUGCCUCACAGCCCAGAAGACGACAUCAAACAUCUGUCUCCAAGAUGCUCCUGCACCUGUCCCUUCCAGAGUAUCUGAGAUUGCACCAGCGACUCAGAGUGGCCCACCACUUCUUCCUGCCCCUGCCUCUGCUCCUCCUCCAGCAGCACCAGCACCAGCACCGGGGUUCCCAGUCCCUUUGCGCUCUCAAGAGGUUAGCCGGGCUAGGUUUUUAUCAAAAUUCCUCCGGGUCAUCAAGCCAGGUGACCGGGAGUGGAUUGCCCAAAUCAUCUAUGAAGCGAGUGGGCAGCCGAGACAGGAGAUCAGCCAGAAUUGGCACCAACCCCCAAGUCCAAUCAGAUCUGUGGCACCUCCAAACCCAGAUUACUAUUUUAGGCAGAGGAUGUUCCUGUGGGCACCAAUGCGCAUGUGGAGCAUCCCUCUGAAAUGCCCUCAGUGCAAAAGAAAACUGCACCACUCUGGUAUUUACACCAAGGUCAGAGAGGUCAUUGAUGUGGAUUCAAGGUACUACUAAAUAGGGGGAGUUUACCCAAGGUGCAGCCAGUGCAAACCAUCGCAAACUUUCUGUCCUUGGAGUAGAGACAUUUUAAAGCAGCUCGACCCCUCUAACCGCAACAAAUUCCCUGCUGUGUUAACAACACAUUUGGCACUGGACCGAAAAUGCGAGACACUUUUGCGUCCGAGAACAGCAGGGAAUAGCUCCAGUUACCUGCAGCAGGCCGUUCAAGAGGCACACAGUGAGGAGUGGGCUAGGAGAUCCUGUGACUAUUUCACAGAUUGUGAAUUUCAUAGGAGAUCCUGCCUGAAACAGUCCAAGGCUGUUUAUCUCAAGCCACCAUCCUUCUGUCCCGUGCCCCUGGCCCAGUGGUUUGAGACAGUGCAUGCCAACGAUGUGUUCAGUCACCUUGAUGAGCUCAAAGGUUUCAUUACUUCAACGUUUGGCAAAAUUCUGAAGCUUGAUUCCACUAAGAAGGAGUGGGCCCAGUUCUCAAGGGGUUUCGGCCAUGGACAUCCACUGUGCGGUUGGGUGUGUUCCACUUUAUGAGGUGAUUCACAAGAAGUCUCACCACGGAACACCAUCCACUGUAUGGUACCUUCUGUUCUAAAUUGUCGAGCUGCAUUUUUGAGUGGGACAUGCAGGACGUCUGUCAUCUGAAAGAGGCCAAGCGGACAAGGCUGAGGAAGAAACAUCAGGGCCAUCAGCCAACAGAUGCCCAGGUGUGGCGAGCAUCAGCUCUAAAGAGCUAGCCGAGCACUGCCGCAGGAAAACCCGGGGAGUGGAGGAGACCCGUGCCCUCAUCAAAAGUCUUCUAGACUCAAUGUGGCAGUUUGUGGACGGCACCGGGCUGCACCUCAUCAACCACGACCACAUGUCUCGCGUGUGGGAGGUACAGCACUUUGCCUGCAUCCAGGAUCCACCAGGAGUGCAGCUUUAUACCAACAUUUGGUAAGGGCUGGAGAAAGGAGACAAAACGUUGAAUGUCCUAAGAUGCUGCAGAGGUUCCUCCUCUCUGGAAAGCUUCCAUAAGCACCAGUGUGCUUUCAUUCCAGGGUGGAGAUGCAAUGCAUUGCACACUCAAGAUGUACAUGCUUGAGGGUGUGUCAAGGUGGAAUUUGAACCGGUCAGCACAAGCACUUGGUAUGACUGAGACAUCCUGGACAAAGAUAUAUGACAUACGCUUGAUUUACAACGUGAAUGCGCUCAGCCACAAAGUCUUGGGAAAACCUCUUCUUCCAGAGUUUAUCCCCCCUGGGAAACCUACCGGAGAGCGUAUUGCUGUGUAUCUUCUCGCACAGUCCAACAGAGGAGAUCUUCUGAGACAGCAGGUUGGUGAUGAUGAUGAUUGAUGAUGAGGAUAAUGAUGGCAUCCUGCCAGAUAUCUUCGAUGAAACCUCGAGGAUGAAUGUACCGUCCUCAUGACCUCACAUUGCAGGAAAUUGGAAGCGGUGGCCCCAGGCCCAGGUCGGAUCCCCGGUCCCCAUUUGAGGAGAGUUAUGCCUCUGCAAGACCCGUCCACUCCCCAAUUGAGGAGAGAGAUGCCUCUUCAAGUCCCGUCCACUCCCCAACUGAUGAGAGAGAUGCCACUGCAAGUCCUGUCCACUCCCCAAUCGAUGUCCUCGCCUCAUUUGAAGAGAGUGGGCUCGUUACUCCAGCUCCGAUGACUAAGACAGGGAAGUCAGACAGCUACUGGAGGGACCUCUGCAUAAAAUAUGCCCAGGACCAAUACCGCUUCUCGACUGGCAAACGGCCAGGGGCCAAGAAAUGGAAAAAGGCCUUGGAGAGUAUCGAUGCCUGCCCCCUGCAGAGCCAUAGUGCUAGUAAGGAUCUGUUCGGGAGAAGCCUUCAGUGCUCCUGUGGGUUCCAAAAGGCGAGCGCAUAGCAGUGGAGUAUUUAUUGGCCCAGACCAACAGAGGUGACCUGCUGGCUCCAAAUCAGGUCCCUGAGGUCCCCUCGCAGGUACUUGAGGAGGAGGAUGAGCCAGAUGACACCAUCAGCAUGACUGACAUUCUGUGCCAGUCAGCUGCGAUAGGGGCUGGUGAUCCUCCAGGUGCUGUGGUGGGUGAUGCUGAACCCGGACCCCUCGUCACAGAGACCAGCCAAUGUGACUCAAGGAGGAUGCGGUUGAUAACCUGGCAGGCUACCUAGUUGGCUUGAAUCGCACCAUCACUGCCUUGUCAUUGAAGGAGGAGGUGGACAUAGUCCAGCUAUAUACAGCUCUCCAUGUCAUGGACAAGAAGCAUUCGAGUUCCACAGACUGUACAUGACUCACGGCCAAGCAGCCCAGGAUCCCGAACACCACAGGGUCAGUGAGUGUGUCUGCCUCAGACUCCCUUUUGGAGUUCCAGGAGCCUGAGAACCGUGAGGGUGAGGCAAAAGUCCGCCAGCGACACAGUUCCAGGACACCUGUACCACGUGCCAUUCCACACACAGAGCUAUUACCAAGCACGAUGCUGCUUCCUCUGGAAACAGCUGUAUGGAGAGCUGGUCCUCUACCUACCAGCCACCCCCAACAAACUACCAGAGCUGGACUUCUUUUCUUCAGGCACCCCCGGAACACUCCCAGGAGUACUCCUCUGCCCAUCAGCUACCCCCAGCUCACACUCAAGGCUGGUCCACUUACCAGGCACCCCUUGCACACUCCCAUGUUUGGUCUUCCACCCAACCACCACCCUCAGCGUCCAACCAGGGCUGGUCUGCCACCCAACCACCACCCUCAGCAUCCUCCCAGGGCUGGUCAUCCACCUCCUACUGUCCUGACCAACCUAGGCUCCCUCACCAAGCACACCCAGAGGCACUAGGUCACCUUAAUCGCCAGCGUGAAUGGCGAUUACACAAGGCAACCCAAAUCCAAGCAAACUGGACACUAUCAGUUACGUGGAAAAUGGUACUGCCCUGCAUCCGGACAGAUGCUUGAGGAGUGGAGAAGCUCCUUGUAAUUACCCCAAUAGACAUUAUUUUUUAUUGUAAUUUUUUUUAUUUCUUAUCAGAAAAUAUGUUAACGUUCACUGUUGAAAAAUAAGUAUAUUUGCUGUUGCAAAAAAUAAUAAUAAUUAGUUGCCGUUGCAACUAUUUGCAAAAAAAAACAAACAGAAUAGUUGCUUAUGCAACUAUUUGCAAAAAUAAAAACAACUACAAAA